GAUAUGCAUUGUGUAUAAAUUUAUAAUAAUUCAUUUUCUUAUUUAUCAAAACAUGUAUCAUUAUCAUCUUGAUACAUCUUUUCAUCUUUUCAUUAUCACCACCAAUAAUAAGGUUUUAAUUCCAAUACUUCCAAUUAUUUCAGUAUAAAAGUAAGUACGGGUCGAUCCCAUGUUGACUAUGAUUAAUUUAUUAUUCACUAUUAAACAUAAAUUAUAUAUAUUUUAAUUGUGGUAUGUAAUUUGGUUAGUGUAUAUAUAUAUCUUUAUAUAUUAAAAGUGCCUAUCUAACGGCAAUUUUUGGUUUAACAGAAUAUGCUUUAAAAAUAAAAGAAUAUUCUGUUAACUUUAACGGAGAAGAACCAAAAUACAUUUUUAAAAUUAACACUGUUAUCGAUUUUUCUCUAUCAUUUUUCUCUAAAUUUGUUAUCGAUUCCAAUCUCAGAAGCCCUAUCAAAAGGUGCAAUUCCAGCUGCUGCAACAAUAUGUGCAACUGAACCAGCGGAGGUCUAUCAAAUCAGAAGAAGAAGAAGAAAAGAAGCCCAAUUCAUUUUCAUCGCAUGCCCAACUCUUUAAAUCCCCAAACACUACACUAUCUUGAACGUGUUCGGAGAAGAAGAGGACGAACGAGCAAGAAGAGGCCUGUACCGAGGAGAGAUCGUCAAUGGGGGACGCCGGAGGGAGAGCACCGUCAGCUCAUAGCCCAACUCUUUAAAUCCCCGAACACUGUGAAAUCCUUUCAAUUAUCGCUUGCGAUUACAUUACCAAUAUUCUAUUUUGUGAAGAAGCAUGAAUUUUAGAUCUUGGAUUGCCGAAGGGAUUCCGGGUCUGGUUCCAGUUCUGGUGUGGGAGCUGUUUCGAUUUGGAGUGUGGCAGUGGGAGUUGCAUGCAUACAUUUUGUUGGUGGGUUUGCACUCAGGCCUUAUACCAUUCCUCAUAUAUUUUUAUUUUAGAGAAACUGGUGAAAGAGCAAGCUUCCGUGAAGACAGAUCUAGACAUGGCGGUACCUCUCUUUGUUUCUUCCUGUGUCUGUCGGUGCUUUCGUUUAAUUUGUUCGAUCAAGCUCGCACACAAGAAUUUUUUACCAAUAUAUGAUCGUUAAGAACAUUAGAAGAAAAGUUAUAGAAUGCGUUUAAUGAAAAUGCUAAACUCAAGGUGAAACAGAAAGAGGAUGAGAAGCUGUAGAAUGGUUUA